rnacentral:tRNA from 1 species
CCUGAUGGCUCAGAUGGUAAAGAAUCUGCCUACAAUGCAGGAGACCCAGGUUCCAUCCCUGGGUCAGGA